rnacentral:lncRNA from 1 species
UUGGAUCUUCAAUUGCUUCCGCUCGUGAAAAUCUUCCGCUCUUCGAAUUCCUUGAUCUCUGUAAUUCUCGAUGGUCUGACAAUUCUCCGUGCUCUGUUUUCUCCUCGCCAAAAAGGUGUCCUUCUUCUCUCGUAGAAACUCUGCUAAAACAAUGAAAAUCCCUUAGCAUUGGUUGAAAAUCCCAUAUCAUUUCCCUUUCUUUUUUUUUAGUUUUGUUACUCAGUUCUUUUUUUUCUUUGAUUUUUUAUACCCAAUUGAG